AGCGAACGCUGGCGGCAGGCCUAACACAUGCAAGUCGAACGAACUCUUCGGAGUUAGUGGCGGACGGGUGAGUAACACGUGGGAACGUGCCUUUUGGUUCGGAAUAACUCAGGGAAACUUGUGCUAAUACCGAAUGUGCCCUUCGGGGGAAAGAUUUAUCGCCAUUAGAGCGGCCCGCGUCUGAUUAGCUAGUUGGUGAGGUAACGGCUCACCAAGGCGACGAUCAGUAGCUGGUCUGAGAGGAUGACCAGCCAUACUGGGACUGAGACACGGCCCAGACUCCUACGGGAGGCAGCAGUGGGGAAUCUUGCGCAAUGGGCGAAAGCCUGACGCAGCCAUGCCGCGUGAAUGAUGAAGGUCUUAGGAUUGUAAAAUUCUUUCACCGGGGACGAUAAUGACGGUACCCGGAGAAGAAGCCCCGGCUAACUUCGUG
rnacentral:rRNA from 1 species